AGUGAACGCUGGCGGUAGGCCUAACACAUGCAGGUCGAACGGCAGCACAGUAAGAGCUUGCUCUUACGGGUGGCGAGUGGCGGACGGGUGAGGAAUACAUCGGAAUCUACUUUUUCGUGGGGGAUAACGUAGGGAAACUUACGCUAAUACCGCAUACGACCUACGGGUGAAAGCAGGGGAUCUUCGGACCUUGCGCGAUUGAAUGAGCCGAUGUCGGAUUAGCUAGUUGGCGGGGUAAAGGCCCACCAAGGCGACGAUCCGUAGCUGGUCUGAGAGGAUGAUCAGCCACACUGGAACUGAGACACGGUCCAGACUCCUACGGGAGGCAGCAGUGGGGAAUAUUGGACAAUGGGCGCAAGCCUGAUCCAGCCAUACCGCGUGGGUGAAGAAGGCCUUCGAGUUGUAAAGCCCUUUUGUUGGGAAAGAAAAGCAGCAGGUUAAUACCCCGCUGUUCCGACGGUACCCAAAGAAUAAGCACCGGCUAACUUCGUG
rnacentral:rRNA from 1 species